UACGGAGGAGGCAAGCGUUAUCCGGAAUUAUUGGGCGUAAAGCGUCCGCAGGUGGCACUUCAAGUCUGUCGUCAAAGACUGGGGCUUAACCCUGGAAAGGCGGUGGAAACUGAAGCGCUAGAGUGCGGUAGGGGUAGAGGGAAUUCCCGGUGUAGCGGUGAAAUGCGUAGAGAUCGGGAAGAACAUCGGUGGCGAAAGCGGCAUCCUGGACCGGCAUUGACGCUGAGGCGCGAAAGCCAGGGGAGCAAACGGG
rnacentral:rRNA from 1 species